rnacentral:piRNA from 1 species
UUCGACAAUUUUCAAAUUUAA